AAACUACAAAGGAAUUGGACGGGGCCCGCACAAGCGGUGGAGCAUGUGGUUUAAUUCGACGCUACGCGAAGAACCUUACCUGGGCUUGAACUGCUGGUGGUAGAAGCCCGAAAGGGUAACGACCCGGAGCAAUCCGGGAGCCAGUAGAGGUGCUGCAUGGCUGUCGUCAGCUCGUGUCGUGAGAUGUUGGGUUAAGUCCCGCAACGAGCGCAACCCUUACCCUUAGUUGCCAGCGGGUAAUGCCGGGCACUCUAAGGGGACCGCCCCGGAUAACGGGGAGGAAGGCGGGAUGACGUCAAGUCAGCAUGGCCUUUAUGUCCAGGGCUACACACGUGCUACAAUGGGCGAUACAGAGGGUCGCGAACCCGCGAGGGGGAGCCAAUCCCAAAAAGCCGCUCUCAGUUCGGAUUGCAGGCUGCAACUCGCCUGCAUGAAGCCGGAAUCGCUAGUAAUCGCGGAUCAGCAUGCCGCGGUCGAAUACGUUCCGGGCCUU
rnacentral:rRNA from 1 species